rnacentral:rRNA from 1 species
UACGAAGGGGGCUAGCGUUGUUCGGAAUUACUGGGCGUAAAGCGCACGUAGGCGGCUUUGUAAGUUAGAGGUGAAAGCCUGGAGCUCAACUCCAGAAUUGCCUUUAAGACUGCAUCGCUUGAAUCCAGGAGAGGUGAGUGGAAUUCCGAGUGUAGAGGUGAAAUUCGUAGAUAUUCGGAAGAACACCAGUGGCGAAGGCGACUCGCUGGACAAGUAUUGACGCUGAGGUGCGAAAGCGUGGGGAGCAAACAGG